CAGUGCAGUCACCCAUAAAGUAGAAAGCACUACUAACAGCACUGGAGGGUGUAGUGUUUCCUACUUUAUGGAUGAGUGUACUGU
rfam:Ailuropoda melanoleuca scaffold3513_10, whole genome shotgun sequence.